rnacentral:rRNA from 1 species
AAUGAACGUUGGCGGCGUGGAUUAGGCAUGCAAGUCGUACGGGUCGGUGUAGCAAUACAACGGCAAGUGGCGAAAGGGAGAGUAACGCGUAGAUACCUACCCUCUGGUCGGGGAUACCGCGGCAUAACCGCAAGUAAUACCCGAUAAUAUCUCCGGAUCAAAGGUGUGAUUCCGCCGGAGGAGGGGUCUGCGUUUCAUCAGCUUGUUGGUGAGGUAACGGCUCACCAAGGCUAAGACGAAUACGGGGUGUGAGAGCAUGCCCCCGCUCACUGGGACUGAGACACUGCCCAGACACCUACGGGUGGCUGCAGUCGAGAAUCUUCGGCAAUGGGCGCAAGCCUGACCGAGCGACGCCGCGUGCGGGAUGAAGGCCUUCGGGUUGUAAACCGCUGUCGAGGGGGAUAAAGUGCAGGUGGGUUCUCCCAUUUGUUUGAUAGAUCCCUGGAGGAAGCAUGGGCUAAGUUCGUGCCAGCCGCCGCGGUAA